rnacentral:tRNA from 1 species
AAUUUUUGCUCGACUUACGAGAAUUCAAGCAUGAAAAGCUUGUGUUAUAUUUUAACUACAAAAAU